AAAGUCAGGGGAGACACCAUAAUCAGGCAGGUGGUUUUCCCAGGGCGAGGCUCAUCCCCUGCUCUCUGGGUGUGCUGACCCCUGUGAUUUCCCCAAAUGCGGGAAACUCGACUGCAUAAUUUGUGAUAGUGGGGGACUGCGUUCGCACUCUCCUA
rfam:Callipepla squamata strain Texas jcf7180005230028, whole genome shotgun sequence.